CUGACCUGCCCAAUGAGGAAUUCAAUGGCCGCAGUAUUUUAACUGUGCUAAGGUAGCAUAAUCAUUUGUCUUUUAAUUGAGGGCUGGAAUGAAAGGUUGGACGAGAUAUUAACUUUCUUUAGUUUAAUUUUAAGAAUUUAAUUUUUGAGUUAAAAAGCUUAAAUUUAUUUGUUGGACGAGAAGACCCUAUAGAUCUUUAUAAUUUUAUAUUUUGAUAAUUUGGUGAUUUUAUUUAUUGUAAGUAGAAGAAUUAUUUUGUUGGGGUGACUGUAGAAUUUUAUUAACUUCUAUUAUUUUUAUUUCAUUGAUUGAUGUUUUUUUGAUCCAUAUAUUUAUGAU
rnacentral:rRNA from 1 species